rnacentral:tRNA from 1 species
CUAGCUCAGUGGUAGAGCGCCAGACUUUUAAUCUGGUGGUCGAGGGUUCGAUCCCCUC